GUACACUCCUGCGGGAGGCAGCAGUGGGGAAUUUUGGACAAUGGGCGAAAGCCUGAUCCAGCAAUGCCGCGUGUGUGAAGAAGGCCUUCGGGUUGUAAAGCACUUUUGUCCGGAAAGAAAUCCUUGGCUCUAAUACAGUCGAGGGAUGACGGUACCGGAAGAAUAAGCACCGGCUAACUACGUGCCAGCAGCCGCGGUAAUACGUAGGGUGCGAGCGUUAAUCGGAAUUACUGGGCGUAAAGCGUGCGCAGGCGGUUUGCUAAGACCGAUGUGAAAUCCCCGGGCUCAACCUGGGAACUGCAUUGGUGACUGGCAGGCUAGAGUAUGGCAGAGGGGGGUAGAAUUCCACGUGUAGCAGUGAAAUGCGUAGAGAUGUGGAGGAAUACCGAUGGCGAAGGCAGCCCCCUGGGCCAAUACUGACGCUCAUGCACGAAAGCGUGGGGAGCAAACAGGAUUAGAAACCCCGGUAGUCCCAUGA
rnacentral:rRNA from 1 species